CCAGUAGUCAUAUGCUUGUCUCAAAGAUUAAGCCAUGCAUGUCUAAGUAUAAGCGACUUGUACUGUGAAACUGCGAAUGGCUCAUUAAAUCAGUUAUGGUUUAUUUGAUGGUACCUUACUACUUGGAUAACCGUAGUAAUUCUAGAGCUAAUACAUGCAGGAAGUCCCGACUUCGGAAGGGAUGUAUUUAUUAAAUAAGAAACCAAUCCGGCUUGCCGGUUGCGUGCUGAGUCACAAUAACUGCUCAAAUCGCAUGGCCUUGCGCCGGCAAUGGUUCAUUCAAAUUUCUGCCCUAUCAGCUUUCGAUGGUGGGAUCGAGGCCUACCAUGGCGUUAACGGGUAACGGAGAAUUAGGGUUCGAUUCCGGAGAGGGAGCCUGAGAAAUGGCUACCACAUCCCAGGAAGGCAGCAGGCGCGUAAAUUGCCCGAAUCCUGACACAGGGAGGUAGUGACAAGAAAUAACAAUACAGGGCUAUUUUAGUCUUGUAAUUGGAAUGAGUACAAUUUACAUCUCUUCACGAGGAUCAUUG
rnacentral:rRNA from 1 species